AUUGAACGCUGGCGGCAGGCCUAACACAUGCAAGUCGAGCGGAUGAAGGGAGCUUGCUCCUGGAUUCAGCGGCGGACGGGUGAGUAAUGCCUAGGAAUCUGCCUGGCAGUGGGGGAUAACGUCCGGAAACGGGCGCUAAUACCGCAUACGUCCUGAGGGAGAAAGUGGGGGAUCUUCGGACCUCACGCUAUCAGAUGAGCCUAGGUCGGAUUAGCUAGUUGGUGGGGUAAAGGCCUACCAAGGCGACGAUCCGUAACUGGUCUGAGAGGAUGAGCAGUCACACUGGAACUGGGACACGGUCCAGACUCCUACGGGAGGCAGCAGUGGGGAAUAUUGGACAAUGGGCGAAAGCCUGAUCCAGCCAUGCCGCGUGUGUGAAGAAGGUCUUCGGAUUGUAAAGCACUUUAAGUUGGGAAGAAGAGCAGUAAGUUAAUACCUUGCUGUUUUGACGUUACCAACAGAAUAAGCACCGGCUAACUUCGUG
rnacentral:rRNA from 1 species